rnacentral:ncRNA from 1 species
UGCGCAGCGCGUGUUUCAUGACGAUGUUCGGAAAGCUCACGCCUUUUAGACGCGCGGUGCGGAUAUAUUGCGCGGUCAUGACUUCGGCCAUCGACGCCCGCGUCAUCCGCGCGAUGUAGCCCAUGCCAUACAGCGCAAUGGUCAGCACCGGCAGAAAGAAGUUCUCGAAAUUUGCGUUC